GACGAACGCUGGCGGCGUGCUUAACACAUGCAAGUCGAACGGAAAGGCCCUGCUUUUGUGGGGUGCUCGAGUGGCGAACGGGUGAGUAACACGUGAGUAACCUGCCCUUGACUUUGGGAUAACUUCAGGAAACUGGGGCUAAUACCGGAUAGGAGCUCCUGCUGCAUGGUGGGGGUUGGAAAGUUUCGGCGGUUGGGGAUGGACUCGCGGCUUAUCAGCCUGUUGGUGGGGUAGUGGCUUACCAAGGCUUUGACGGGUAGCCGGCCUGAGAGGGUGACCGGCCACAUUGGGACUGAGAUACGGCCCAGACUGCUACGGGAGGCAGCAGUGGGGAAUAUUGCACAAUGGGCGGAAGCCUGAUGCAGCAACGCCGCGUGCGGGAUGACGGCCUUCGGGUUGUAAGCCGCUUUCGCCUGUGACGAAGCGUGAGUGACGGUAAUGAGUAAAGAAGCAACGGCUAACUACGUG
rnacentral:rRNA from 1 species